AGGACGAACGCUUGCGGCGUGCCUAAGAAAUGCAAGUCGAACGGAUUAACCAGCAAUGGUUAGUUAGUGGCGAACGGUCGCGUAACACGUAAGCAACCUGCCUUGAAGUUGGGGAUAACAGCCUGAAAAGGCUGCUAAUACCGGAUGUGGUCCACGGGUGGCAUCAUUUGUGGUCUAAAGAUUUAUCGCUUCAAGAUGGGCUUGCGGCCUAUCAGGUAGUUGGUGGGUAAUGGCCUACCAAGCCGACGACGGGUAGCUGGUCUGAGAGGACGAUCAGCCGGAUUGGGACUGAGAUACGGCCCAGACUCCUACGGGGGGCACGGCAAUUAGGAAUCUUGCACAAUGGGGAAACCCUGAUGCAGCGACGCCGCGUGAAGGAUGAAGGUUUCGGCCUGUAAACUUCUUUGACAGGAAGAAAAAAUGAACGUACCUGUCGAAUAACGCCCGACUAACACGUGCCAGCAGCCGAC
rnacentral:rRNA from 1 species